rnacentral:lncRNA from 1 species
GGCAAAUGUUUUAUUGAAAUUCGGUAUUUAUAUAAGAAAAAAUAAAAAAAAAAAAUAGUUAUUUUCUUUCCUGGAAGUCGUCAAUCCUUUAUUGAACAAAAUGGCAACGUGCCAGAGUUUUAUUUUCUCUCUGUAGACAUUCGCAAACACGGUUAUGCACUUCUGCCAGCAUUCUCUCGUCUCUGAUGGGCUCACUAUAUUUUUAAGGUCGAUUUGAAUUAAUUAAAGUGAAAAGAAAAAACUACAAUCAUUUUUUUUGUUUAAAGGACAAUAAAAAUAAUACUGAUUUCUUUGAUUAAAACUGCCUGUAAAUACAGUGAAAAUUAAAUUUCAUACAGAUUAAGACUCCUUUUCGUAACUAGAUUUUGCUCUUCUUGAGUUCAAUCCGGGGUUAAAGAUAAUUAUGGAUCUCUUUUCCGAAAACUCCCAAUUUAGAGUCUGUUGGCAGUGUGUGUGCAUCUCCUCGCGCCUAAAAAACAUGCUGCAUUAUCGGAUAUACGCCCAGGAGGAAAAAAAAAGCAUCAUUUAUUCUUUUAAAACCUUCCCCAGAGUUCAGUUUUUUUCUUUGUUUCUCCAUCGCCACAUUUCCAUUCGCUUGGUGCACGUAAUCCUAUUUACAGAAAACGUUUCUUUACGUUGCUAGGACUUUAUUAAUUGUCGUUUGCAUAGUUUAAUCGAGAGAGAAAUGCGUUGAGCGUACUUGUUGAUUGAAAACGAGUUUUUGUUUGCAUUUUCAGUGCCAAUCCAGAACCUCUGGAAGAAAUGGGUGAGUCAUCGCCAC